CAUGCAAGUCGAGGGGAAACGACAUCGAAAGCUUGCUUUUGAUGGGCGUCGACCGGCGCACGGGUGCCCUAACGCGUAUCCAACCUGCCCACCACUUGGGGAUAACCUUGCGAAAGUAAGACUAAUACCCAAUGACGUCUCUAGAAGACAUCUGAAAGAGAUUAAAGAUUUAUCGGUGAUGGAUGGGGAUGCGUCUGAUUAGCUUGUUGGCGGGGUAACGGCCCACCAAGGCAACGAUCAGUAGGGGUUCUGAGAGGAAGGUCCCCCACAUUGGAACUGAGACACGGUCCAAACUCCUACGGGAGGCAGCAGUGAGUUAUUAUUGGUCAAUGGACGAGAGUCUGAACCAGUCAAGUAGCGUGCAGGAUGACGGCCCUAUGGGUUGUAAACUGCUUUUAUAAGGGAAUAAAGUGAGUCUCGUGAGACUUUUUGCAUGUACCUUAUGAAUAAGGACCGGCUAAUUCCGUGCCAGCAGCCGCGGUAAUACGGAAGGUCCGGGCGUUAUCCGGAUUUAUUGGGUUUAAAGGGAGCGUAGGCCGGAGAUUAAGCGUGUUGUGAAAUGUAGACGCUCAACGUCUGCACUGCAGCGCGAACUGGUUUCCUUGAGUACGCACAAAGUGGGCGGAAUUCGUGGUGUAGCGGUGAAAUGCUUAGAUAUCACGAAGAACUCCGAUUGCGAAGGCAGCUCACUGGAGCGCAACUGACGCUGAAGCUCGAAAGUGCGGGUAUCGAACAGGAUUAGAUACCCUGGUAGUCCGCACAGUAAACGAUGAAUACUCGCGGUUUGCGAUACAGUGUAAGCCGCCAAGCGAAAGCGUUAAGUAUUCCACCUGGGGAGUACGC
rnacentral:rRNA from 1 species